rnacentral:rRNA from 1 species
AGCGAACGUUAGCGGCGGGCUUAACACAUGCAAGUCGAGCGAGAAAGGGCUUCGGCCCUGAGUACAGCGGCAGACGGGUGAGUAAUACGUAGGUAACCUUCCGUUUUGUGGGGACGAACGGUACCGAAAAGAACCGCUAAUACCGCAUACGUCUCCUCGGGACCGUCGGUUCCGGGAGGGAAAGCCUCGCAAGGGGCGCAGAAUGAGGGGCCGUAUGUCGCAUCAGCUAGUUGGUGGGGUAAGUGGCCUACCAAGGCGAAGACGCGUAGCUGGUCUGAGAGGAUGAUCAGCCACACUGGGACUGAGAC